rnacentral:rRNA from 1 species
UACGAAGGGGGCUAGCGUUGCACGGAAUUACUGGGCGUAAAGGGAGCGUAGGCGGACAGUUUAGUCAGAGGUGAAAGCCCAGGGCUCAACCUUGGAAUUGCCUUUGAUACUGGCUGUCUUGAGUUUGGGAGAGGUGUGUGGAACUCCGAGUGUAGAGGUGAAAUUCGUAGAUAUUCGGAAGAACACCAGUGGCGAAGGCGACACACUGGCCCAAUACUGACGCAAAGGCUCGAAAACGCGGGGAGCAAACA